AGAGUUUGAUCCUGGCUCAGGACGAACGCUGGCGGUGUGCUUCACACAUGCAAGUCGAGCGAAUGAAGAAGGUAGCUUGCUACUUUUGGAUUUAGCGGCGGACGGGUGAGUAAUAUAUAGGAAUCUGCCCUAGAGCGGGGAACAACAGACCGAAAGGUUUGCUAAUGCCCCAUAGGUACGCAGUCUUCGGAUUGUUUAUUAAAGGAGUAAUCCACUCUAGGAUGAGCCUGUAUCCGAUUAGCUAGUUGGCGGGGUAAAGGCCCACCAAGGCUACGAUCGGUAGUUGGUCUGAGAGGAUGAUCAGCCACAAUGGGACUGAGACACGGCCCAUACUCCUACGGGAGGCAGCAGUGGGGAAUUUUACACAAUGGGGGAAACCCUGAUGUAGCGACACCGCGUGAACGAAGAAGCCUUUUGGGGUGUAAAGUUCUGUCGGCUGGAACGAAAAAAAUGACGGUACCAGCAAAGGAAGCAUCGGCUAACUACGUGCCAGCAGCCGCGGUAAGACGUAGGAUGCAAGCGUUGUCCGGAUUUAUUGGGCGUAAAGAGUUCGUAGGCGGUUUGUUAAGUCUGAUGUUAAAGACCGGGGCUCAACCUCGGAAAUGCAUUGGAUACUGGCAGACUGGAGUGCAGUAGAGGCUAGUGGAAUUCCCAGUGUAGCGGUGAAAUGCGUAGA
rnacentral:rRNA from 1 species